rnacentral:rRNA from 1 species
CGGCGGACGGGUGAGUAACGCGUGGGUAACCUGCCUCAUACAGGGGGAUAACAGUUAGAAAUGACUGCUAAUACCGCAUAAGACCACAGCACCGCAUGGUGCGGGGGUAAAAACUCCGGUGGUAUGAGAUGGACCCGCGUCUGAUUAGCUAGUUGGUAAGGUAACGGCUUACCAAGGCGACGAUCAGUAGCCGGACUGGGAGGUUGAACGGCCACAUUGGGACUGAGACACGGCCCAG